GACAGAGGUCUCGAGCGUUAGGCGGAAUCACUGGGCUUAAAGCGUGUGUAGGUGGAUGCCUAAGUACCUUGUGAAAUCCCACGGCUUAACCGUGGAACUGCUUGGUAUACUGGGUGUCUUGAGUCACUCAGGGGCGAGCGGAACAAAUGGUGGAGCGGUGAAAUGCGUAGAUAUCAUUUGGAACGCCAAUGGUGAAAACAGCUCGCUGGGGGUGCACUGACACUGAGACACGAAAGCCAGGGGAGCGAACGGG
rnacentral:rRNA from 1 species